UCCCUGGUGGUCCCAUGGUUAGGACUCUGCACUUCCACUGCAGAGAGCAUGGGUUUGAUCCCUGGUAAGGGAC
rnacentral:tRNA from 1 species